GAAAAAAGUUGAAACAAUUCUUAUGUCCAAAUGGGCUCUUAAUAUAUGUUGCUGAAAGUUUAAAUGAGAAACAUUUUACUUUGUUAAGCCAGUGAACUUGUGAUCGCUGCAGAAUUUUGAUAUUUUACCACUAUUCUCUUGUAUUCUAGCGAAAGGCAAACAUUUCUUGUUUCUGCUUUGCAAAGUGAUGAACUAGUGGGCUUGUAUUUCAUGUUCAUGCAUUUUCAUUAAAUGUUUUAGGCUUUUAGCGUGUAAUUAUUCCCUUCAUAUUUUUGUUGGUAAUUAUAGUGUGUGUUUCAGUAAUAGAUUGAAAUUCAAAUUUUGUCUUUUAGCUUUAUGAGUUCAGUUUUUUCACGUUCUCAAUGGUUUUUGUUGGUUAUUAAUGUCAAAAUUACUAUAGAAUUAAUCAAAAUCACUAUGUGGGGAAUGCAAAGAAGUCCGAACGGUUGCUUCUUUACUACUUGUAGCUUUAAGCUGAGAUGAGCCUGAGUGGAAUGACCUUUAAUGCAAAUGAUAAGUUCAUUAGAUGUGAUUUAGCUCCUUCUUCCUCCUCCUUCCUCUUGAUGAACCCUCUCCCCUCUCGAUUCCUUUCUUCUGCUCUUGCUUCUCUCACGCUUUUCUGGUCGGAUUCCGGCAAGUCUUCAUUCUCCGUCUCUCUUUUCUUCUUCUUUUUUUUUUUUCUCUUUUCUCUCUUCUGCGGGCGUGGGUUAAGCAGCAUUCCGACAGUCUCUCCGGUGUGUACUACCGGUGGUUUUUAUUGGUACCGGCAGGCCCAAUCCAGCGGGCUUUAUUGGUAUCGGCAACCCUCCCACAGGCCUUCACCUCUAUUCGGCAGCUUAUUGGCAUCCUCGGCGUUAAUCCAGGUUCUAUCAUUCUUGCCUUUGGUGAUUCAUUUUUUUUUGGCUAAUAUUUGCGUGCCAUUCUGUUAUUUCGCCUUAGACUUUUAUUUUCAAUAUGACUUGCCAUUCUUUAGUUAUGUUGUUUUCAGUUGGACUUGCUUUGAUUUACUUUUUUACAACUAGAGCCUUAUAUAGUAGACUUUAUUUCUUGUUGCGGGCAGGGGCGAAGGUACAUGGUAGCAAGGGUGGUCAACUGACCACCCUUCGUCGAAAAAUAAUACUGUGUAUAUAGGUAAAAUAUUAGGAUUUAUAUAUAUGUAAUACAUAUUCAACCCAUGUAUGACUUUUGGUUUUUUGGUCAUUUUCUUCUGUAGCAACACCUAUCCGUGAUGGCAUGAGGACGCUCACAGAGCAUGGAAUCCAAUGAGGUGGAUAUGUUGUGUCAUUGGAGAAAAUAAGCCAAAUGGCUUAGCUUCUUGAAAAUAGAAGAAGUGCGGGCCAUAUAUCCUGCCUAGUUCUUAUUUGACCUAAACUAAUUGAUAUAAUCCUUGAAGAAAUGAGAAAGGGCUAUGUCUUCGCAUACAACGCGACAUUCGUGUCUCAUGUAUGGUUUAAGUCAUGGAAAUGGAUCUGUCAGUAUGCAUUCAUGUGUGAAAUUCUCAUCUUUGUAUAGCUGAAAGUUCUUUUCUCGUGUAUAAGAUGGAUAUGGAUCAGAUUAAAAUUAUGGUCUUGUACUUGAAAGGCGUUGUGCAUUUAUACAAUGAAGUGCAGGUUUUUGGUCUUCUUUUGUGUUCGCGGUUACACUUUAGGUGGUAUGCUCUCCUUUAAGAUUACAGUCUUGCGAUUUCCAUUUGUUCCUCUUACUGUCUUAGAAUUAGUGAGUUGGAGUUCCAUUUUCUUGAUAUUAACUGGUUGCAAUGGCAAAAUACUAGGGACAAUUGGGAAGACGGAAACCCUGGUUCUUGGGGGUAAAGUCUGCAAUAUCAGCCAUCCAGUCCAGUGAUGCUGGUUCCUGGUUCUGUAGGACUAACACUCCUAGCGAUAAUUACAGUGAUGCUGGGACCCCAAGGGACAAUGGUUCCGCAUGUGCGCUAAUUCUCCAACUCCUUAUUUGCCACCAACUCCUGGUGGCCAACCACCAAUGACACCGAGUUAAGCAUAUAUACCUGGUCUUCCUGGUGUGCAGCCAAUGACUCCCUGAAGUGAUGUCACCUUUAGGAGCAUUCCGACAGUCUCUCCGGUGUGUACUACCGGUGGUUUUUAUUGGUACCGGCAGGCCCAAUCCAGCGGGCUUUAUUGGUAUCGGCAACCCUCCCACAGGCCUUCACCUCUAUUCGGCAGCUUAUUGGCAUCCUCGGCGUUAAUCCAGGUUCUAUCAUUCUUGCCUUUGGUGAUUCAUUUUUUUUUGGCUAAUAUUUGCGUGCCAUUCUGUUAUUUCGCCUUAGACUUUUAUUUUCAAUAUGACUUGCCAUUCUUUAGUUAUGUUGUUUUCAGUUGGACUUGCUUUGAUUUACUUUUUUACAACUAGAGCCUUAUAUAGUAGACUUUAUUUCUUGUUGCGGGCAGGGGCGAAGGUACAUGGUAGCAAGGGUGGUCAACUGACCACCCUUCGUCGAAAAAUAAUACUGUGUAUAUAGGUAAAAUAUUAGGAUUUAUAUAUAUGUAAUACAUAUUCAACCCAUGUAUGACUUUUGGUUUUUUGGUCAUUUUCUUCUGUAGCAACACCUAUCCGUGAUGGCAUGAGGACGCUCACAGAGCAUGGAAUCCAAUGAGGUGGAUAUGUUGUGUCAUUGGAGAAAAUAAGCCAAAUGGCUUAGCUUCUUGAAAAUAGAAGAAGUGCGGGCCAUAUAUCCUGCCUAGUUCUUAUUUGACCUAAACUAAUUGAUAUAAUCCUUGAAGAAAUGAGAAAGGGCUAUGUCUUCGCAUACAACGCGACAUUCGUGUCUCAUGUAUGGUUUAAGUCAUGGAAAUGGAUCUGUCAGUAUGCAUUCAUGUGUGAAAUUCUCAUCUUUGUAUAGCUGAAAGUUCUUUUCUCGUGUAUAAGAUGGAUAUGGAUCAGAUUAAAAUUAUGGUCUUGUACUUGAAAGGCGUUGUGCAUUUAUACAAUGAAGUGCAGGUUUUUGGUCUUCUUUUGUGUUCGCGGUUACACUUUAGGUGGUAUGCUCUCCUUUAAGAUUACAGUCUUGCGAUUUCCAUUUGUUCCUCUUACUGUCUUAGAAUUAGUGAGUUGGAGUUCCAUUUUCUUGAUAUUAACUGGUUGCAAUGGCAAAAUACUAGGGACAAUUGGGAAGACGGAAACCCUGGUUCUUGGGGGUAAAGUCUGCAAUAUCAGCCAUCCAGUCCAGUGAUGCUGGUUCCUGGUUCUGUAGGACUAACACUCCUAGCGAUAAUUACAGUGAUGCUGGGACCCCAAGGGACAAUGGUUCCGCAUGUGCGCUAAUUCUCCAACUCCUUAUUUGCCACCAACUCCUGGUGGCCAACCACCAAUGACACCGAGUUAAGCAUAUAUACCUGGUCUUCCUGGUGUGCAGCCAAUGACUCCCUGAAGUGAUGUCACCUUUAGGAGGUGUGUCCCCUGUUCCUCACAAUAGCUUGUGUGUCUUUUGGAGUGACACA